rnacentral:rRNA from 1 species
AGAGUUUGAUCCUGGCUCAGGAUGAACGCUGGCGGCGUGCUUAACACAUGCAAGUCGAACGGAAAGGCCCCAGCUUGCUGGGGUGCUCGAGUGGCGAACGGGUGAGUAACACGUAAGUGAUCUGCCCUGCACUGGGGGAUAAGCUUGGGAAACUGGGUCUAAUACCCUAUAGGACCGCAUCGUGGUUGGUGUGGUGGAAAGGUUUUUCUGGUGUGGGAUGAGCUUGCGGCCUAUCAGCUUGUUGGUGGGGUAAUGGCCUACCAAGGCGGCGACGGGUAGCCGGCCUGAGAGGGUGUGCGGCCACAUUGGGACUGAGAUACGGCCCAGACUCCUACGGGAGGCAGCAGUGGGGAAUUUUGCACAAUGGGCGGAAGCCUGAUGCAGCGACGCCGUGUGGGGGAUGAAGGCCUUCGGGUUGUAAACUCCUUUCGUCAGGGACGAAGUUUUUUUGACGGUACCUGGAUAAGAAGCACCGGCUAACUACGUGCCAGCAGCCGCGGUAAUACGUAGGGUGCGAGCGUUGUCCGGAUUUACUGGGCGUAAAGGGCUCGUAGGUGGUGUGUCGCGUCGUCUGUGUAAUCCAGGGGCUUAACUUUUGGUUGGCAGGCGAUACGGGCAUUGCUUGAGUGCUGUAGGGGAGACUGGAAUUCCUGGUGUAGCGGUGAAAUGCGCAGAUAUCAGGAGGAACACCGAUGGCGAAGGCAGGUCUCUGGGCAGUUACUGACGCUGAGGAGCGAGAGCAUGGGUAGCGAACAGGAUUAGAUACCCUGGUAGUCUAUGCUGUAAACGGUGGGCGCUAGGUGUGAGUCCCUUCCACGGGGUUUGUGCCGUAGCUAACGCUUUAAGCGCCCCGCCUGGGGAGUACGGCCGCAAGGCUAAAACUCAAAGGAAUUGACGGGGGCCCGCACAAGCGGCGGAGCAUGUGGAUUAAUUCGAUGCAACGCGAAGAACCUUACCUGGGCUUGACAUAUGUGAGAUUGGGCUAGAGAUAGUUCGUCCCUUGUGGCUCAUUUACAGGUGGUGCAUGGUUGUCGUCAGCUCGUGUCGUGAGAUGUUGGGUUAAGUCC